AGAAAGAAGACAGUGAAAGCAAUGAAAGAAAGUAAGUUCUCAGAAAGAGAGAAUGUAUAAUUAUUUAUAUGGAUCUGAGAGAGCUUUCGUGUAGAGUCUGUAAAUGUUUAUAUUUGGUUUUUAAAUGAAGUAUGGUAAACUCCAUUUACUAUUCAGAAAUCCAAAUUUAUAAAAGAUUUUUGUUGUUGUUGUUAUUGUUGUUAGUGGGAAAAGGAGGUAGAAAGGGGUUGGGAUAGAGUUUAUUCACAUUGCAUAAAAGUUCUUUCUUUGCAAAAUGAUUCACUGAAAGCUUCCUUUAAAUAACAGCUCUGCUGGUGCAUUUAAUGUACCAAAAAAAUCAAUUUUAAACAGAAUUUUAGGAAUAAAGUCUGUGUUAUGCAGUGGAAAUGUAUAAGGCAUUUAAAAAUGAAAACAGACUGGGAUGAAUAUUAGAAUAAAUUUUCAUUCCUUGAAUAAACUCUUACUAGGCAAGUAUCAGGAUGUGGCCCUAAGAGUGUGAUGGGCAGGUCAGUGUGGGGGGAGAAAGUUAAAGGAGUAAUUUAGGUAGGAUUAAGGGGGGGAGUACAGAUUUAUGUUUAAAAAUUGGACUUGAAAUAAUCUAAGGAAUGAAUUUUUAUAGGAGACCUUGCUUCAGUAAAAGCAAAUUGAUGGAUUUCUAGUUUAGUUCAAGAUAUAGAUAACCUUCCUUGCAUUUAAGCCUGCAGGUAAUUUCCUUACCACUUCCAAAUUCCCAUUGAACUAACCAACUAAAUACAUAGCAGAGAAAUCUGCCCAGGUAUUUACCUGGUUUCUGCAAAAACAAGUAGGAUAGAAAAGAGCAGUGAGCGGAGGAAGGGUUGCCCCUAAUAUUUUUAGGUUGCUACCCCUAAAGAUUGCUAAGGUAAUAUACAUAAUGUAAAAAAAGUAUUAUUAGUACUUUGGAUCCAAAAGCUUCGAUUAUUUCAACAGUAAUUUGGAGCUGAGGGCUAUGAAGUAAAAAGAUAUUAAAAUGUCUUGUUUGAGAGUGAGGGAAAGUGAACAGAUACGAUUUCUUGCUUGGUUGUGAUCAAUAAUUUAGGUUCAAAUGUUAUUGAAAGAGAAGUUCCUAUAGGUCAAGGAUAGGAAUAUAUAUAGAGAAAAAAAUCAUAGCAUAAGUUAUGUCAAAAGAAAAAAGGAAACCUCUGUCUUGGCCCUUUCAACACAGACACAGGAAGACUGGAACUCACAGUUGCAUGCGACUACUUUGGUGCUGGUAAGCGGAAGGUCUCGAAACCACACACACCUUUUCUAGCGCAGCGUGUUUGUGAGUUGUAGACUGGAAUAGGGGUAGAGAACUAAAAUGUGGCCUAAGACUAAGUCAAGAUCCAAUGAGAGAAAGAAGUCAACUUCAUCUGGUGAAAGAAUCAUCUCCUGUGGAGAAAGGAGGCUCCUGAGAAAUUUUUCAUGUCAGGAUGACCAAAGCUUUUUUAAGAAGAUGCCUCAUUUGAUGCCAUGUUUUCUUGCACUGCUGUAAUUCACAAUCCUUUCUUCACCUUCAGGUUCAGUAAAAGCUUUGUAGAAGGUUUGUGGUGACUGAGAGGUUGACAGGGAAUAAAGGAAAAAGGAAUCGGGAACACACUGGGGCCCUAGUGAAGCUGUGGGUAUCACACAGCUGUGGCAAAGGCUGCGAGAGAUAGUGAGAGGGUAAGACGCAUAAUCUAAGCAAAAUCCACCAUGAAAAUGUAAGUCCUUAUAAACUGGCCAACAUGUUAGAGCAGAUGUUAGAUUUCUCAUUGAGUGUGGUAGAGAGAGUCAGUGGUUUUUUUUUUUUUUUUUAGAUAUCAAAGAGCCAGUGACAUCUGGGGUGCACAGUGUCUAUGUCCUUAGAGGUAAAGAGAUAAGUCUAUCAAAAAGUAAAAUGAAAAAUAGCCACAGUUCAAUCAAAUAAAGCAGUUAUCACAGGAACCAUGACUAGUUAAGUGUGUUAUUUAGUGACAAAGAUUCAGAGAUUUGUACUUCACGGCAGGAUGGAGUGGGUCACAGUAGACCCAUGUCCUUGCUACAAUAACUAGACAGAUCCUGAAAUUCUCCAAAAUGAUAUAUUUAAAGACAUAUUUGGACGCAAAGAGCACUAGAUAGUUGGAAUUCCAGUUUGGAGGUGAUGUGACAAUUACCAGCUACUUGCUUCACUGAGCCCAUUUGCCAAUUUGGUUAAUAAAAAAAAAAAGAAACUGACUACAUGCUGUUUAUGAGAGACACACUUUAAAUAAAAUACUGUUGGGGAGAGACUUGCUUUAUUUAUAAGGAUACAGGAAAAUGGAAAACUAGUAAGAAAAAAAUAUGCCAUAUAUACACACCAACCAAGAUAGCUGAUAUAGCUGUAUUAAUAGCAAACAAUAGGACCUAAGGUAAGAAAUGUUAAUAGAGACAGGAGAAUUUCCAUAAUGAUAAAGGAGCUGACUCAUGAAGACAAUAAUUUAAAAUUUGUAUACACCUAACAGUUAUAAAAGAUACAAAGCAAAAGUUGAAAGAACUGAAUGAAGAUAGAAAUUAAAAAUCCACAAUUAGAGCUGGAGAUUUUAAUAGACCAUUCUCAGUAACUGAUUAUAAGUGAUGGAAAUAUGUAGAGAAAAAAAUUAAUAGAAACAUGGAAGAACUGAACCUAACAAAUAUAAGACAUCACAGCCAACAACUGCAGACCACAAUUCUUUUCAAGUUCACAUGGAACAUUACCAAAGUAGACCAUAUGCUGAAUCAUAGAUUAAGUCUUAAAAAAGCUUAAGGGCUAGGAACAUAUAGAAAACAUUAUUUAACCACACUAGAAUUAUACUUGAAAUCAAUAAUGGAAAGAUAAAUAGGAAAUCUCAACUUCAAUAACACAUGUAUCAAAAGAAGAAAUCACAAUAGGAGUUAUGAGAUAUUUUGAGCUCAAUAAUAAUACAAAUUUGGCAUAUCAAAACUUGAGGAAUCGAGUUUCUGACUAAAGAGAAAUUUAUAGUUUUAAAUGAAUAUAAUAGAAAAAGAAAAGUUGAAAAUCAAUGAUUCAAGCCUCCUUCUAAGGAAAUUAGAAAAUAAACCCUAAGUAUAUAGAAGGAAAAAGAAAGCAACGGCAUAGACAGCAAAGAUAUCUUGGAGAUGAAAUCAGCAAAUUGGAAGUACAAACCACUUCAGAAAACUAUUUAGCAAUAUCUACUAAAGCUAAACAUUUGUAUAUCCUACCAUCUAGCAAUUCCACUCUUGGGAUGUAUACCAAGAAAAAUGAGUUUUUAUAUUCUCCAAAAUAGGAUAUAUAAGAUAUAUUUAUGUAUAUCCUAUUUUGUGUGUGUGUGUGUGUGUGUGUAUAUACACACACACACACACAAGGCAUGAAGGAUGGAUCCCUUCCCUAACCCUACAUUGUCAUGUCACUACUUCUCAUUUUCUGCAGAAGACUGGAGGUUGUCUCUUUGGAGAGUGUGAAUCUGCCAGGUUAUGGAUUUGGGCAUGCCCAGCAUAAACAGAAAAGUGGGAGUGAGAUACCAUAUUGAAAAUAAAGGCUUAGUGAAAGUUGAUUUCCUCAGUGGUGAGAUCUAUGACUCUUUUCCUUCACUUGGGUCUCAGAAAACUAAGCCAGCACGAAAUCUUCUGGAAGAGAAGAUAGUUCCUUUCUGAGGACACUGCCUAGCCUAAAGGAAAAGACUGCUUGUGUCCUUUCUUGCAAGAGCCCUAUGUUCUUGAGGCUUUCAGGCAGUCAGCUGAAGAGCCCAGGGGAUUGGUCUUCAAUGAUCUGCCCCUCACCUGGAGAGCUCAUGACUGAUAACCUGACCUCCUCCAGGGCCCACCACCUCUGGAUUACCCCCUGUUUGAAGGAAACAGCAAACUUUUAAAAAAGACUAUUUAAAAAGAUAAAAUUACAAUUAUGUUAAGGGCACCCUAAUUUAAUAAAUAAAUCCUGAUACAGGUUUUUUUUUUAAACAAAAUCAGAUGAUUCUGAAUUUCACCCAGAAUAAUAAAUAUAAAAGACAAUAAUUUUUAAAGGGUAAGGGAAAUAAGGGAAGUGGACUUACCAUACAGGAUAUUAAAAUUAAUCAUAAAUUUACCAGAAGUGGCAAUUUACAUCAGUAGGGAAAGAGUAGAUUGUCCAGUGAAUUGUACUGAUAAAUCAUUAGAAAAGGAAAAGGGAAGUGACUUUUAUUUCUUUUUCAGUGGUUAAUAAGUGAAGACUUCAUGAGAGCCAGGCUCCCUGUGUCUGAGUUGGUGAACCAUGGGUGUUCUGUAGUCAGUCUAAACUAAGAUGCUUGCUGCUUUUCUUUGUCUUUUUCAAAGCUCAACUGAGCAGUGGCAUUUGGUUAAGUCAAAAUAGAGAGACAAAAGUAAAAAUAAACUUGUUUGGCCUUCUUUCUUGAAAGGAGAGCAAAGAUGACUGAGAUGGGUGCGUUCUCACCUCAAGGGCCUGAGGGACACUUGGAGCUUUUUGACAUGCACUGUUUGUUUUCAAUGGGAAAUUACUCAAAAUAUAAUAAGGAAAUAUUUUGCUGAGUAAAUAGAUUCGUUUACGUCUUGCGGCAUGGGUGGUUAAGAAGAAUCCUGGCCUUUUAGCUCACUUGGCUGAAAUCCCUGGUCAAAGAGAGAGAUUUCUCUUCUCACUAGUAUUUCUGUCUUGUCGGAGGGGUUCUUCCUCCUCCUUCUUUUGAAAUCAGAUAUUUUAAGACACUUGAAAUCCAGGGAGGGAAAAGAGACUUAUUCCACUGUGAUGGGGAAGAAAAUUAUGUUUUGUGGUCACAGCCUUUCCUGGACCUCCUCUACCGCUCUCCAGAGUAUUCGAGUUUUGUCAGCUCAGAGCCUGGAUUUGUGAUGCAGAAUUGAGGCAACAGGUAAGACAGACACACGACCAGGUGAGUGAGGAUGUGGAGUGACGUUGCAAAGGACAGGUUACCCAGGAGAAAGAAAGCUGGAGAUGAAAGGAGGGCAGAGGGAGGAUGGGGAGUAGCAGGACUUGGGCCAUGGAGAGGAUUUAGACUGGGAGCUGGGAGGGAAGGAGGAAGAGGUUUCUGGGCUCAGCUGUGCUUCCCGUGCUGAGUACUGAGAACAGACAGGACCCAGCAUGACAGGCUGUGCCCUCAGUGUGUAGUUCUCUCCACAUUUCAUGGCAAUUUUCCCCCAAGUAUAAGUUGGAAAUGAUUUCAUUUAUUUUUUUUCAGCAGACUGUGAUUCUUUGAAUCAAAACUUAUGUGCUGAAGCUACGCCAAGUGGGUUCCAGUUAUAUUUGGGUUACGCCACAAAAGCCAAAGAAUGUGGACUUGAUGACAAGACAAGAGACCUUAUAAUUCAGCUUCUUAUCUCUGAGCACCUCUAACAGUGCCUGGCAUCUAUACCAGAACACCAACUUCAACUCAGAGACAAAUGACCAAGUAGCUAUAUAAAAGGAAAAAGGAGAGAGAAAAAAGGAAAAAGAAGAAGACAGGGCAGAGAGAUGAAGAAACCAAAGCUGAGAGUGACUGGGUCCAGAUCUCACGGCAGCGAGUGGCAGAGCUGGAAUUCAAAUGAAAGUCUGUGUGGCUUCAGAGCCGAGGUUCUCCCAAGCACAUAGCACAUAGUAAUAAUGCUUACUUAUAUUAGCUACUGAAAAAGAUAUUUAGUGAAAGUGUACAUUUUAAAGUUAUGUAAUUUACAA